rnacentral:rRNA from 1 species
UACGUAGGGGGCAAGCGUUGUCCGGAUUUAUUGGGCGUAAAGAGCGUGUAGGCGGCUAGGUAGGUCCGUUGUGAAAACUCGAGGCUCAACCUCGAGACGUCGAUGGAAACCAUCUAGCUAGAGUCCGGAAGAGGAGAGUGGAAUUCCUGGUGUAGCGGUGAAAUGCGUAGAUAUCAGGAGGAAUACCGAUGGCGAAGGCAGGUCUCUGGGCUGACACUGACGCUCAUGCACGAAAGCGUGGGGAGCAAACAGG